rnacentral:tRNA from 5 species
GGAAAAAUCGCCUAAUGGUAUGGCAAUAGUUUGCUAAACUGUGCAUCUUAUAGAUGCUUGGGGGUUCGAAUCCCCUUUUUUCCG